GCCGCGGGGCUGGCUGCGGGCGGGCGCUGGUCCCGGCGCCCAGCGACUCCCGCCGGCGGCCGCCCCCGCUCUGCCCUUCUCCGUGCCCCGUGCGCUUCGGGCUCUGCAGUAACCGGGUUAUAAAUAAACACCGUAAAGCCCCCGCUGCUUACACGUCGGAGGGUUGUGUUUCCAAAUUGUUGGGCUUUGUUUAGAAACAUUUCAGGCUCUUCUGUUCUGCUGGCUUCCUUUGGUAGAGCUUACUAUGACAGAGAAGAAGAGGACUAGACACCCUUGUAAAAGAGGCUUGGGAUAAUUACACAUAACACAGGUUUCAAGACACAAGCUGUCAGAACAUACUGGAAUGUUUGGUGUCUGUGAAAGAUGACUGCCAGGAAGUACCUGCCUAUCCUACACUGGUAAAUAACCAUAAUUGCCUACUGUGCUUUCAGCAGCCAAAAGCUGAAUUGGCUAUAGAAAUAUCUGAUGAAGAUUCUUGGAACAAAGGCUGAGAUCUGCUCUGGCAAUGGCUUCAGCCACCACCAUCCCAGAAGAGAUGCUACAAAUCAAUUUCAGCACCAGGAUAUGAAAUCUUAUUAGUAAUUAUGUUCCCUUCUCCCAGGAAGAGACCUGCCCUUGAAAGUCUUCAGCACACCACCAAAGGAGCAUCUGUCCGGCUAAGCAUCUUUCUGGACUCUUCUGCUUUGCAGCAGACUACCACACCAAAUUAUUUUUGAGGCAUGUAAAAGCCUUAUUCAGGCAUAUUUCAACCUUAUAAAAUAAAACUCAUCUGAAAUAA